AGUUGCAACUGCACCUCGGACUGCAGUGUAGACUGUCCCUGUAUGUAUGCACACAAGUAUUUCAUAUAAAAAAGUAUGCUAAGACAACACUAAUGUUGUGCAAUUAAAUAAGACUUCAUGGUUACAAGAUGCUAAACAAGUGACUCUAAGGUGGUAGGGGAAAAUGUAUAAUGUAUUGUGGGCCAGCUGGUGUAAAUUCAUUGACUUCAAUAGAGCUAGGUAGAUUGACAUCAGCUGAGAUCUGGGCCUGCAUCAUUUUAAGUAUAGAGGGCUUGAUUCGCCAAUGCAUUGCCAGUUUUAUUCUGACAUAACUCCACCAACCUCAUUGGAGUUACUCCUAACUUACAAACAUGGAUAUGAGAGGAAAACCAGGCCUAAAGACAAUAGACAGUAUCAUAAUGCACACACACAAUAGUGGAGGGUUAUGGUUGUACAUUCAACCUUCAGUGUUGCAUUUCCUGACUUCUGAGUUCUUUUUCUGACUUACCUUUUUUUUUCUUUAAAGAAACGACAGUCGAAACUCCCAACAAAUAGAGAUGGAAUCUGCCAUACUUCAAACUUUUGCUGGUGGGCAAAUGCAUGGCCAGAUCCCCCACUAGUAUAAAUCAGCAUCACUCCAUGGAAAUCAAUGGAGCUACAGCAUUUAACACCAGCUGAGUACCUGGUAGAAUUUGUCACCCCCCUCCCUACUCACUGUGUUCCACUGGCAUCUGGGCUGGUAACAAAUGAAGCACCACCGAAUGCUGGUGACUGGCACCCUGAAAGGCCAUGACACUGAAGAGUGUACCAGUGUAUUGAUGGGUGCUUCAUCAGUGGCUGGCUUACUUCCAGCUUUGACUUCACAUUUAGCAAGGGACAUAUCCUCAGCUGAUGUAAACUAGCGCAGCUCUGUUGAAAUCAACGGUGCUAUUACAUUGAUUGACACCGGCUGGCAUAGUAUGUAAGUGAAAGAAGAUGGGGCAAAAUCCUGCCUCAGACUCACUCAUUCCUGUGCUGUGGAAAGACCAAAGCACAGCAGCCCCACUGUGGGGGUGAGAAGAAAUGGAAUUUGGACAGGUCAGUGGAGAUGUGUGGGCAUGGCCAGUGUGCCUGACAGGGUUUGUCUGUGCUGCAUUGUAAACCCUGGGCUAUGGGACCUGGGCUUGCAGACUCUGUGUUGUCAAGCCUGUGUUUGAGCUCCCAUACUGCAUGGUAAACCUGGGUUUACAAUUGCUGGACCCAGGUCUCACAGCCGCAUUCACAUGUCCAUACUGCACAAUGCAGACUGUCUGACUCAGUCUGUGGCUUGAGCUGCAUCCACACUGCAAAAUGAUAGGGCUUGGACCUGAGUCUCAGCGGACUUGGGCUCUGACCCAUUUCCCCAGCAGGGUUAUAGGACCUGGGUGCUUACAGACUCAAGUCAGAAUGAUGGAAGCAGCCAGGGGUUGGGCUCAAACCUGAAUCAGAGUCAGGAUAAGUGUGCAGUGUAGACAUACCCUGAGCCAUGCAUCAGUCCUGUGGGAGUGAUGUCACUGGCUUCAGUCACUACCACCUAGUAUCUGCAAUGUAACUAUGGGGAAGCUCCAAGCACAGUCUCGUGCCCCCUUCCAACCACCAUUUCUUCACAUCACCUAUGAGACAGACGUUGGGCAAGUGUCAUGACUGUCACCCAUGAGGAUCUGGUAAUGAACUCAGACCAAGUUCUUUCAUCUGUAUCUAUUCAGGUAAUGGUACUGCAUCCAUGAUGGUAUACACACAUUCCUGUAUGACACGGAGAACAAAGCUAACCAGUGAAUCAAGUAGAUUUAUAGCACUCGAAAGCCAUGUUGUAAUGAAGCUUAUACUAAAAUAUGUAACAGUAAUUGGAUUUAUUAAAUUUUAGAAGAAAACAAAUGAAAUAAAUGAGUCAAUCCUGCUAUAAGGCUAUUUUUAGUAUUCAUAUGUGUGUUUCAGUGCCUCUCGGUUACUGAGUAUGAUACUGUGAAGAGUUUGUAGGGCUGGGGCAAUUUUAUUUUUCUAGGGGGAGGAGGAAAUGGUGGGUGGAGGUUUUGCUGAGCCUCCUAUUCCUCCCACUCCAUCUUUAAUUACCAAUGCCUUAAAUAGACUUUCUGACUGAGGGGAUAGAGGCAGCAUGAAUGCUGCUCUGAAGUUGGCCCACCGUGUUCACUCGAGGAUGAUGUGAGGGUCUUCCUUCUUCCCAGGAGAGAGGUAGGGCCUUCGUACCAACCAACAUCCCUACUAGGUUGGGCGCUCAGGACCUCAGUGCCGAUCCUACUGCAGAGCAAGCUGGGAAUUUUCGAUCUGAAGGAUAUGCCAACAGAAAAUGCAAAAAUUUUCCUUGGGAAAAUUUCAGCUUUGCUGAAAAAUGUCAAUUGGACGUUGGGAAACAUCAAAAUGAUGGCUCCACAGCUUGGGGCUUGGAAGGCUCUUGUCAAUUUCACUGGUGUAAUAUUUUUAACUUAAUCUUCUAACAAUUUAAUGAGGUAGGCUCCAAAAGCCAUAUUCAGGCAUCUGCUUGAUCUUAAAAAGUACAGCGCACUCAACAACUCACAUUGCGGUUGUGUUUCUGACGUUUUGUCCUGAUUUCGGAUUUUUUUGUUUUAAAUGUGACAUUUUUAUGGGAGGGAACUUUCCAGUUUCCAACUAGCUCUAGCCUACUAUUUUGCAGCAUGUUGAGCCAUCACUAUGCAUUGACCAUGUUAAUUAAAGAUAAAGGUUGGAAUAAGAUUUGCAAAAAUGGGAGCCUACGGUUAGGCUCCCACAUCCAUGUUUAAAUAUAUAGGCAUCUCCCUCAAAAGUGCUGAGCACCCAACAGCUUCCAUUGAGCUUAAUAUGAACUGUUGAGUGCUCAGUACUUUUGAAUCAGGCAGGUGCCCGAAUAUGGAUGUGGGAGCCUACCUCAGUGAAUUAUUAGCAAAGUAAAUACAAAUAUUAUAUCAUUUUAAAAACCUUUACACAUCUAAGUGGUCAGGAAUCCAAAAUGGCCACUACUACGGAAAUGUUGCAAAAUUUGGCUUUUUGUAAGUGUUAUUAUUAUUCACUUCAGGCCAGAUCCUCAGCUGGUACCAAUGUCCGUUGCUCUGCUGACUUCAGUGGAGUUACACUAAUGUGAAGAUCUGGAUGGCUGUAUCUUUUAAAGACAUGAAUUUUGAAUUAUCACUCCAAUGUGGCUUUGAAACCAUUAGCAAUUUAGUAACUUUUCAAUAAAUCACAUGUGAGUUACAGACAUU